GAUGAACGCUGGCGGCGUGCCUAAUACAUGCAAGUCGAGCGAACAGACGAGGAGCUUGCUCCUCUGACGUUAGCGGCGGACGGGUGAGUAACACGUGGAUAACCUACCUAUAAGACUGGGAUAACUUCGGGAAACCGGAGUUAAUACCGGAUAAUAUAUGGAACCGCAUGGUUCAAUAGUGAAAGACGGUUUUGCUGUCACUUAUAGAUGGUUCCGCGCCGCAUUAGCUAGUUGGUAAGGUAACGGCUUACCAAGGCAACGAUGCGUAGCCGACCUGAGAGGGUGAUCGGCCACACUGGAACUGAGACACGGUCCAGACUCCUACGGGAGGCAGCAGUAGGGAAUCUUCCGCAAUGGGCGAAAGCCUGACGGAGCAACGCCGCGUGAGUGAUGAAGGUCUUCGGAUCGUAAAACUCUGUUAUUAGGGAAGAACAAAUGUGUAAGUAACUAUGCACGUCUUGACGGUACCUAAUCAGAAAGCCACGGCUAACUACGUG
rnacentral:rRNA from 1 species